rnacentral:rRNA from 1 species
CAGCCGCGGUAAUACGGAGGGUGCGAGCGUUGUCCGGAAUCACUGGGCGUAAAGGGCGCGUAGGUGGCGCGGGCAGUCAACGGUGAAAGUUCGGGGCUCAACCCUGAAUCGGCCGUCGAUACUCCCGGGCUUGAGCACUGUAGAGGCAGAUGGAAUUCCGGGUGUAGCGGUGGAAUGCGUAGAGAUCCGGAAGAACACCGGUGGCGAAGGCGGUCUGCUGGGCAGUAGCUGACACUGAGGCGCGACAGCGUGGGGAGCAAA